GACGAACCGUGCAAACGUUAUUCGGAAUCACUGGGCUUAAAGCGCGUGUAGGCGGGACGGCACGUCGGUCGUUGAAAGCCCCCGGCUCAACCGGGGAAUGGGCGCCGAUACGACCGUCCUGGAGGAACGUAGGGGGACCUGGAACUUCCGGUGGAGCGGUGAAAUGCGUUGAGAUCGGAAGGAACGCCCGUGGCGAAAGCGAGGUCCUGGACGUUUUCUGACGCUGAGACGCGAAAGCCAGGGGAGCGAACGGG
rnacentral:rRNA from 1 species